rnacentral:rRNA from 1 species
CUACGGGAGGCAGCAGUAGGGAAUAUUGGACAAUGGGCGCAAGCCUGAUCCAGCAAUGCCGCGUGUGUGAAGAAGGCCUGCGGGUUGUAGAGCACUUUCAGUAGAGAAGAAAAGCUUACGGUUAAUACCUGUGAGUCUUGACGUAACCUACAGAAGAAGCACCGGCUAACUCCGUGCCAGCAGCCGCGGUAAUACGGAGGGUGCAAGCGUUAAUCGGAAUUACUGGGCGUAAAGCGCGCGUAGGCGGCUCUGUAAGUCGGAUGUGAAAGCCCUGGGCUUAACCUGGGAAUUGCAUUCGAUACUGGGUAGCUAGAGUUUGGUAGAGGCAAGUGGAAUUCCAGGUGUAGCGGUGAAAUGCGUAGAUAUCUGGAGGAACAUCAGUGGCGAAGGCGACUUGCUGGAUCAAUACUGACGCUGAGGUGCGAAAGCGUGGGUAGCAAACAGGAUUAGAUACCCUGGUAGUCCACGCUGUAAACGAUGUCAACUAGCCGUUGGGACCA